rnacentral:snoRNA from 1 species
AAAUCUGAUGAGCAUUUCAUUUAUUCCUUUAUCUAAAGUGAGCUGGAUUCCAUGAAUUUGCUUUAUAAUAUAUAUU